rnacentral:lncRNA from 1 species
UAACAACAACUGUAUGUAAAGACCCAAAAACUACAACUACCUGUAGCCUGGUGCUCCUCUAGCUCUGCAACUCGACUGGAAGAGCUCUAACUCGCGACGCCCUUGCCACGAUCAAGAUCAGCAAUAGCAGCAGCCGAAGGCGACGGCUCUGCAAAACAAUGGUAACAAUUGGGCGUGAGAACUACUACAAAAAGAAGUAGUCCUCAGUGGGUAUCGCCCUCAAACUCAUCAGUCCACCCACUAAGUCUACAGGAAUAAGCAGGAAUAGUAAAAAAAGCUAGAACAAAUCUACAGCUAAAUACCGCUAUACUAUUAUGCUUUAACUCUAACCCUCUGUAGAACAAUAUCAACUCAGACCCGAUCUCAAAUAAGAACUGUAAUCAUACCUGUCCCUGGGACUGUGAACACAUCCGUCCCGCCCGGUUGCGACUAUACAGCUACCUCCACACUAACCAGUCUGUGGA